AGGAGGAGAAGACGAAGGAAGAGCAGGCUGAGAUGAUGGUUUUGACUGAGAAGCUUAAUGCUGACCUGGAGCUGUUCUGCAAGAUGGCUAAAGAGAAGAAAGAUCAUUUCCAAACUGCAAAGAUGACUUGGAAACAGUUGGAGGAGGAGCGAGCCCGCUUCAGAGAGAAGCAGGGGUGUUUUCAAAGAGAAAUGAAAGAGCUU